rnacentral:rRNA from 1 species
GUCUGCCUUGAAGAUCGGAGUGCUUGCACUCUGUGAAACAAGAUACAGGCUAGCGGCGGACGGGUGAGUAACACGUGGGUAACCUGCCUAAGAGAUCGGGAUAACACCUGGAAACAGAUGCUAAUACCGGAUAACAACAGAUGAUGCCUAUCAACUGUUUAAAAGAUGGUUCUGCUAUCACUCUUGGAUGGACCUGCGGUGCAUUAGCUAGUUGGUAGGGUAACGGCCUACCAAGGCGAUGAUGCAUAGCCGAGUUGAGAGACUGAUCGGCCACAUUGGGACUGAGACACGGCCCAAACUCCUACGGGAGGCAGCAGUAGGGAAUCUUCCACAAUGGACGCAAGUCUGAUGGAGCAACGCCGCGUGAGUGAAGAAGGGUUUCGGCUCGUAAAGCUCUGUUGUUGGUGAAGAAGGACAGGGGUAGUAACUGACCUUUGUUUGACGGUAAUCAAUUAGAAAGUCACGGCUAACUACGUGCCAGCAGCCGCGGUAAUACGUAGGUGGCAAGCGUUGUCCGGAUUUAUUGGGCGUAAAGCGAGUGCAGGCGGCUCGAUAAGUCUGAUGUGAAAGCCUUCGGCUCAACCGGAGAAUUGCAUCAGAAACUGUCGAGCUUGAGUACAGAAGAGGAGAGUGGAACUCCAUGUGUAGCGGUGAAAUGCGUAGAUAUAUGGAAGAACACCGGUGGCGAAGGCGGCUCUCUGGUCUGUUACNNNCGCUGAGGCUCGAAAGCAUGGGUAGCGAACAGGAUUAGAUACCCUGGUAGUCCAUGCCGUAAACGAUGAGUGCUAAGUGU